rnacentral:siRNA from 1 species
GAGAAGCAGGGCACGUGCG